GUGAGCUCCAGAGACUUGAAGGAGACUGAGGUGAGGUACAGUAAUAAGGAGAUGCCCUCCCUCCCUCUGAUUAGAGACCCCAGACCAGGAUGUGAGCUCCAGAGACUUGAAGGAGACUGAGGUGAGGUACAGUAAUAAGGAGAUGCCCUCCCUCCCUCUGAUUAGAGACCCCAGACCAGGAUGUGAGCUCCAGAGACUUGAAGGAGACUGAGGUGAGGUACAGUAAUAAGGAGUAGCCCUCCCUCCCUCUGAUUAGAGACCCCAGACCAGGAUGUGAGCUCCAGAGACUUGAAGGAGACUGAGGUGAGGUACAGUAAUAAGGAGAUGCCCUCCCUCCCUCUGAUUAGAGACCCCAGACCAGGAUGUGAGCUCCAGAGACUUGAAGGAGACUGAGGUGAGGUACAGUAAUAAGGAGAUGCCCUCCCUCCCUCUGAUUAGAGACCCCAGACCAGGAUGUGAGCUCCAGAGACUUGAAGGAGACUGAGGUGAGGUACAGUAAUAAGGAGAUGCCCUCCCUCCCUCUGAUUAGAGACCCCAGACCAGGAUGUGAGCUCCAGAGACUUGAAGGAGACUGAGGUGAGGUACAGUAAUAAGGAGAUGCCCUCCCUCCCUCCCUCUGAUUAGAGACCCCAGACCAGGAUGUGAGCUCCAGAGACUUGAAGGGAGACUGAG
rnacentral:lncRNA from 1 species